rnacentral:lncRNA from 1 species
GUGGGGUGGUAUGCUGCCUUGGCCAAGCUCUGCCAGCUGAGUGACCUUGGACAAGAGACAUGAGCUUUCUUAGCCUUGGCUUCCUUAGCCUUGGCUUCCUUAUCUGUAAAGUAGGGGUGAUGCUAGUACCAUCUUCACAGGCCAUCUGGCCUGAGAGGGAGAACCUGGCACACCACACAUAUCCAAUUAAGCAGAAGAAGGUGCCUGACUGCAUGAGUGUCAUCCCACUGAAUCUUCUGGGAGGUCCUACAAGCUGGGAGCCUCGGGAAGAACAGUGGUGGCGCCUCCUGGGAGCUGGGCAUGGGGCUCCCCAUCAGUUCCAGCUCUGACCUCUCUGGGCUGUUCAGGAAAAGGCAGCAGUGCUAAUGAAGACACUGGAGGACAGUGUGGCUUAGUCAGCACAGGAAGGAAAUGACUUAGUGCAGCCGGGUGCUGGCAGGCGACCACAGCAGGGGCAGGCAGCCCAUAAGACCAGCACAGCCAGGAGGCCACACUCCCCCGCCCCACCCUGGGCUUGCCUUCUUUGCCCCUCUCUUUCCCUUCACCACCCUCCACAGCCAAUUUGCUUGUCAUCACCCACCUUUUUGUGUUUAACCCAUCAGCUCUUCCUACCUCAUUCACUAUUUUUUUUGUUUGUUUUAAUUAAGGUCGAAUGCAUGUCACACAAAGUUAACCAUUUUAAGGUGAACAGUUUCAGGGGCAUUGACAAUAUCGUGCAGCCACCACCUCUGUCUCAUUCCAAAACAUUUUCAUCACUGCAAAGUAAAACCUGGACCCACUGAGUAGUUCCUCCUCACUCCCCCAUCCCUACCCCUACCAAUCUACUUUCUGUGUCUAUGGAUUCACUGAUUCUAGAUACUUUAUAUAAACGGA